AACGCUGGCGGCGUGCCUAAUACAUGCAAGUCGAACGGCUUUUCUAAUGGAAGCUUGCUUCCACUGAGAAGAUAGUGGCGAACGGGUGAGUAACACGUGGGUAACCUGCCCAUAAGAGGGGGGAUAACAUCCGGAAACGGGUGCUAAUACCGCAUAGUUUCUUGAUCGCAUGAUUGAGAAAGGAAAGACGGCCUUUGUGCUGUCGCUUAUGGAUGGACCCGCGGCGUAUUAGUUAGUUGGUGAGGUAACGGCUCACCAAGACGAUGAUACGUAGCCGACCUGAGAGGGUGAUCGGCCACAUUGGGACUGAGACACGGCCCAAACUCCUACGGGAGGCAGCAGUAGGGAAUCUUCCGCAAUGGACGAAAGUCUGACGGAGCAACGCCGCGUGAGUGAAGAAAAGGUUUUCGGAUCGUAAAACUCUGUUGUCAGAGAAGAACAAGUUGGAGAGUAACUGCUCCAGCCUUGACGGUAUCUGACCAGAAAGCCACGGCUAACUACGUGCCAGCAGCGGC
rnacentral:rRNA from 1 species